GCCACAGUAGUUCAGUCGGUAGAACACAACAUUGGUAAUGUUGAGGUCAGGAGUUCAAUUCUCCUCUGUGGCU
rnacentral:tRNA from 1 species